GGUAGCGUGGCCGAGCGGUCUAAGGCACCAGUCUCUCCGGAGGCGUGGGUUCGAAUCCCACCAGCUGCCA
rnacentral:tRNA from 1 species